rnacentral:rRNA from 1 species
AUUGAACGCUGGCGGCAGGCCUAACACAUGCAAGUCGAGCGGUAGAGAGGUGCUUGCAUCUCUUGAGAGCGGCGGACGGGUGAGUAAUGCCUAGGAAUCUGCCUAGUGGUGGGGGAUAACGUUCGGAAACGGACGCUAAUACCGCAUACGUCCUACGGGAGAAAGCGGGGGGAUCUUCGGACCUCGCGCCAUUAGAUGAGCCUAGGUCGGAUUAGCUAGUUGGUGAGGUAAUGGCUCACCAAGGCGACGAUCCGUAACUGGUCUGAGAGGAUGAUCAGUCACACUGGAACUGAGACACGGUCCAGACUCCUACGGGAGGCAGCAGUGGGAAUAUUGGACAAUGGGCGAAAGCCUGAUCCAGCCAUGCCGCGUGUGUGAAGGAGGUCUUCGGAUUGUAAAGCACUUUAAGUUGGGAGGAAGGGUAGGUAACCUAAUACGUUGCUACUUUGACGUUACCGACAGAAUAAGCACCGGCUAACUUCGUGCCAGCAG